UUGGAGGGCAAGUCUGGUGCCAGCAGCCGCGGUAAUUCCAGCUCCAAUAGCGUAUAUUAAAGUUGUUGCAGUUAAAAAGCUCGUAGUUGAAUUUCGGGGUUAGUAGGUUGGUCAUGCCUCUGGUAUGUACUGGUCUCACUGAUUCCUCCUUCCUGAUGAGCCGUAAUGCCAUUAAUUUGGUGUUGCGGGGAAUUUGGACUGUUACUUUGAAAAAAUUAGAGUGUUUAAAGCAAGCUAACGCUUGAAUACAUUAGCAUGGAAUAAUGAAAUAGGACGUUCGAUCCUAUUUUGUUGGUUUCUAGGAUUGACGUAAUGAUUAAUAGGGAUAGUUGGGGGCAUUAGUAUUCAAUUGUCAGAGGUGAAAUUCUUGGAUUUAUUGAGGACUAACUACUGCGAAAGCAUUUGCCAAGGAUGUUUUCAUUAAUCAAGAACGAAAGUUAGGGGAUCGAAGACGAUCAGAUACCGUCGUAGUCUUAACCAUAAACUAUGCCGACUAGGGAUCGGAUGAUGUUAAUUUUUUAAUGACUCAUUCGGCGCCUUACGGGAAAC
rnacentral:rRNA from 1 species